rnacentral:rRNA from 1 species
UCCUCCUUUUCUCCGCCCCGGGGGAUAUUGCACAAUGGGGGAAACCCUCCUUCCUCUCCUCCUCUUUUUCUCCUCCUUAUUUCGGUAUGUAAAGCCCUAUCAGCAGGGAAGAAGAAAUGACGGUACCUGAGUAAGAAGCACCGGCUAAAUACGUGCCAGCAGCCGCGGUAAUACGUAUGGUGCAAGCGUUAUCCGGAUUUACUGGGUGUAAAGGGAGCGCAGGCGGCACGGCAAGCCUGAUGUGAAAGCCCGCGGCCCAACCGCGGGACUGCAUUGGGAACUACCGGGCUGGA